rnacentral:rRNA from 1 species
CGUGUAGGCGGCCAGGUAAGUCAGAUGUGAAAGUCCCGGGCUCAACUCGGGAAGUGCAUUUGAAACUGCUUGGCUUGAGUAAGAGGGAGGAAAGUGGAAUUCCUGGUGUAGAGGUGAAAUUCGUAGAUAUCAGGAGGAGCACCGGUGGCGAAGGCGGCUUUCUGGCUCUAUACUGACGCUGAGACGCGAAAGCGUGGGUAGCAAACAGGAUUAGAUACCCUGGUAGUCC